UGUUGGGGCAAGGUAGGGGUACCCUAGGUAGGGGAACUCACACUAGAAUCUGCCGGAUAUUCCAUAAACUCAACGAUGACAAGAAAUUUGAAAUUAUAGUAAACAUGCCAAACAAUGAACAUCCAACCAAGUUCCAUGCAUUACAAAUGAACAUUCACAAACAUGCAUUACAAAACGGAUUUUUCAGCUUUUCUAUUCUUUUGCCCCGAAGUUCCUUCCACCACCAAUUCGUUUAAGAAAAACCUCGGGGGGAAAAAAAAUCGUUUAAAAAAAAAAAGAAAAGUUUCCCUUUUCAAUUUUGUACUUUCUAAAAAAAAUAAAAAAUCUUAUGAAAGAGUACGUAUAUAUUACUCUUAAAAGGUAAUAUCCCAUCAAGGAUUAACAGGUAAAGGAAAUUGAGGAUUUUUUUCCCAAUUUAGUUCAUACAGCUUCAUUUGAUUUUAUGCACACCGAAACCCAAAAAAAUAAACUUCAAAUUCUCAAACAAUAAACUUCAAAUGGUCUCUAACUCUAUGCAUACUGAAACCCUAAAAAAUUUCAAUCAAAGUUCAAACAAUUCACAUGCACAUUCAUCCUCCAUAGCACACAAUUCACAAUCUCAUUUAAUCCCAUCCUCCAUCGACCAUAUUGCAUAAAUUAUUAAAAAAAAAAAAAAGCUAGAUGAGAUUAAGAGAAAUCGGUCUUACCUUCGUUGUGACAGACAGCGACUUCAGCGAGAUUGACAAACAGCGAUGACGGUGAAGACGGCGACAACUCACGACUGUAUCACAGAUGGCAAGAGGACUUACGGUGGGUGAAGGGGGGAAACUUGCUGGCCGUUGGGAUUCAGGAGGGUUAAGGGCUUUAGGAUCGUGAAAAGAGGGAGGGGGAGGGGGGGGGGGGGGGAAGGUUGAAGGGUUACAAAUACAAGGCUCAAAACGGCACCAUUUUGAUUAUGGGGGGUUGUUAAAAAAAACUCAGGCAUCAAAUUAAAACGGCGUCGUUUUGAUGCCUAGGUUUUUCUUUUUAAUUAACAUAUAUUAUAAAUAUAUAAAAUAUUAUAUAUAUAUGGGCAGCGGGGUAGGGUGAGGUAUUUGCGGGACGGGGAUCACCCUCAUCCCGCCCCCCCUUGCUGGGGGCUCCAAAUGCGGGUAGGGCCACCCCUGCCCCGCAUCUGGCAGAUGGGGGAUCCGCCCUCCCACAAGGGAGUGGGGAGGACGGGGGGCGGGGCCCCGCUGCCCACCCCUAACAAACUCUUCCGAAUAAGAUCUUUGUCAACACAAUGAAAGAUGGACAUUAUUAAUUUGCAGGAAACUAAGUUGAAGCUUAUUACAAGAAGAACUAUACGGAGUAUGUGAAGCUGCCAGUAUGUAGGAUGUCAUACUUACCUUUGAAAGGGGCUUCGGGUGGAGUUUUGGUUAUGUGAGAUAAAAGGAUGAUGGAGAACAUUGAUAAAAUUUGUGGGAGAAUAUUCGGUGGGGUGUUCUUUUUAAAAUUUUGAAGAUGGUUUUGUAUGGGCCUUUGUUGGGGUUUAUGACCCUAAUUUGGAUUGCGAGCGGCAGUUGCUUUGGGAUGAGCUUGCAAGCUUAUGUAUUUGGUGGGAGAUUUCAUGGUGUAUUGGUGGAGGUUUUAAUGUGAUAAAAUUUCCUAGCGAAAGAUCAGGGGAGGGACGAAAAAAUCAUGCUAUGCUGGAAUUCUCGGAUCUCAUAUUCAAACUGGAACUCAUGGACUUACUUCUUAUGGGAGGUGAAUAUACUUGGUCUAAUAACAAAGCCUGGUCAAGACUGGGCAGAUUCCUCAUAUCUCCUUCAUGGGAAAUGCAAUUUCCAGAUUUAUGUCAGAAAAAAGACUUUCUCUGUUAUGCUCUGAUCACUUUCCCAUAAUGUUAGACUGUGGAGGAAUUCCACGGGGUAGAAGGCCAUUCAAAUUUGAGAAUAUGUGGUUAAAAACGGAGGGGUUUGUAGAAUUGGUUAGGCAAUGGUGGAACUCAUAUCAAUUAUAGGGCACUCCGAGUAAGGUAUUGGCUGGAAAAUUGAAAGUUUUGAAGAUGGAUUUGAAGACAUGGAAUGAACAGGUAUUUGGUAAUGUAGCAUUACAAAAAAAGAAUCUCCUCCAAGAAUUACAAAGUUUGGAGGGUGUAGAAGAUGAGAACGAACACAAAGGUCAAGUAGUCUCAGAGUUAGAAAUGUUGAUUCUAAUGGAAGAGAUUUCGUGGAGGCAAAAGCAAAGGGCAUUGUAGCUUAGGGAGGGGGACAAAUGUACAAAGUUUUUUCAUCGAGUUGCAAAUUCACAUAGGAUGUUUAAUACCAUAGAGUCCAUGACCAUAGAUGGAGGUUUAUCUUCAGAUCAAGCAGUAAUAAAAGAUCAUGUUGAUGGACAUUUCGAACAAUUGUUGUCGGAACCUUAUGCAUGGAGGCCUACAGUAGAUGGUUUAGCUUUUGAGGUCAUUGAUCAAAAUAGUAUGGCUUGGUUGGAGAGAUCAUUUGAAGAGGAAGAGGUA